AGAGUUUGAUCCUGGCUCAGGAUGAACGCUGGCGGCGUGCCUAACACAUGCAAGUCGAACGAAGCUUGACGGAUGAUUUCUUCGGAAUGAAACCUGAUAUGACUUAGUGGCGGACGGGUGAGUAACACGUGAGCAACCUGCCUUUCAGAGGGGGAUAACGGCUGGAAACGGUCGCUAAUACCGCAUGACGUGUUCGGAUGGCAUCAUCUGAACAUCAAAGAUUUAUCGCUGAAAGAUGGGCUCGCGUCUGAUUAGAUAGUUGGUGGGGUAACGGCCUACCAAGUCUACGAUCAGUAGCCGGACUGAGAGGUUGAACGGCCACAUUGGGACUGAGAUACGGCCCAGACUCCUACGGGAGGCAGCAGUGGGGAAUAUUGCACAAUGGGGGAAACCCUGAUGCAGCAACGCCGCGUGAAGGAUGACGGUUUUCGGAUUGUAAACUUCUUUUCUUAGUGACGAAGACAGUGACGGUAGCUAAGGAAUAAGCAUCGGCUAACUACGUGCCAGCAGCCGCGGUAAUACGUAGGAUGCAAGCGUUAUCCGGAUUUACUGGGUGUAAAGGGAGCGCAGGCGGGACUGCAAGUUGGAUGUGAAAUACCGUGGCUUAACCACGGAACUGCAUCCAAAACUGUAGUUCUUGAGUGAAGUAGAGGCAAGCGGAAUUCCGAGUGUAGCGGUGAAAUGCGUAGAUAUUCGGAGGAACACCAGUGGCGAAGGCGGCUUGCUGGGCUUUAACUGACGCUGAGGCUCGAAAGUGUGGGGAGCAAACAGGAUUAGAUACCCUGGUAGUCCACACUGUAAACGAUGAUUACUAGGUGUUGGAGGAUUGACCCCUUCAGUGCCGCAGUU
rnacentral:rRNA from 1 species